UGGCACUAUAUUUUUUUUUUUUUAUUUGAUUUAAUUGCUUAUAUUUGAAGGUCAUUAUGGUAAAUCAAGUAAGUAAAGUUUCUUAUUUGAUAUUUUCAGAUUAUUCAUAUAAGACAUAUUUAGAAUAUCUGUAAUAAAUUAUUUCUAUAAAAUUUAAUUGUUUUAAGAGUCAAUUGGUUCAUAAUACAAAAAAGAGCAUAGAUAUUAGCAAUCUACCUAGUAAACUUUGGUGUCUAGCAAUUAAAAUACCAUCAUCUAAGAUUUCGGGUAUUCACCUAAUUAGGGGGAAAGUUUUGUGUACAGGCUGAAAUUUCUCUUGUUUUUAUGUAUUUAUGUUUAACUUUAAAGAGUUAACAAAUUCUCCACAAAAUAUAGUAACAAUGCAGAUUUCUAACCCAAUUAGUAUCUUAUAAAAAC
rnacentral:lncRNA from 1 species